rnacentral:rRNA from 1 species
UACAGAGGGUGCGAGCGUUGUUCGGAAUUAUUGGGCGUAAAGGGCGCGUAGGCGGUGCCACAAGUCACUUGUGAAAUCUCCGGGCUUAACCCGGAGCCUGCAGGCGAAACUGUGGUGCUGGAGUGUGGGAGAGGUGAGUGGAAUUCCCAGUGUAGCGGUGAAAUGCGUAGAUAUUGGGAGGAACACCAGUGGCGAAGGCGGCUCACUGGACCGGUUCUGACGCUGAGGCGCGAAAGCGUGGGGAGCAAACGGG